GAUUAACGCUGGCGGCGUGCCUAAUACAUGCAAGUCGAGCGCCCCUUCGGGGGAGCGGCGGACGGCUGAGUAACACGUUGGUACCUACCCCGGACUCGGGAAUAAGCGCUGGAAACGGCGUCUAAUGCCCGAUAAUUCUCUUCGGAGCAAAGCUUUUGCGGUCCGGGAGGGGCCUGCGCAUGAUUAGCUUGUUGGUGAGGUAACGGCUCACCAAGGCGACGAUCAUUAGCUGGCUGAGAGGAUGAUCAGCCAGACUGGGACUGAGAUACGGCCCAGACUCCUACGGGAGGCAGCAGUAAGGAAUCUUGCACAAUGGGGGAAACCCUGAUGCAGCAACGCCGCGUGGA
rnacentral:rRNA from 1 species